CUCUUACAGCUAGCUUACGGAGUAUAUGAAGCUGCAGCAAGGCUUAAUAUUGUGCAGGAAUGCCAACCCAAUUCUUUCUACCAACCCUCUCUAUGAAGAGGAGUGAUAGGGCAGACCUCUUGAGAAAAGGAGACCUAACAAGUCCUUACCCAUAUUGCCAUGGAGACACCCACACAAACAGAAGAACACUUCCUUCUUCCACAGUCUCCAGUCACUCCCGGCUCCAGGGCCAUACAGUGAGAGACAGAGCACACCAGAUGUUCAGAUUAUUCAUCUCAGACUCCUUGCAAUCCAUUUCCUGAAAAUGCCAAAUCUGGCCUCUAUGAGUGCCAAGUCCCAGUCUCCAAGAUGGAUGAAUGCUGCUCUUCCUUCCCAGCUGCCUCCAGCUCCACACAGCAGGAGUUCCCCCCACGCUCCCAGGUGUACACAGGGUGUGACAGCACAGCUGCCUCCCCAUUAAAUCCAAAUGAUGACCUUCAGCCAUCCUCCCAGGCUCCCUGGCACCCUCUCGUCAGGCCCAGAUCCAUGCUGCACUGUCUGCAACUACCCAUCGAGGAACUCAUUUUAAGUCAUAUCUUUUAAUCAAUCUGGAUAAAUGUUGUCAGUGGAAAGUUGCUACUGCUCACAACCUCUACGACUUUUAACAUAUACCACAUGUUCCUGCAUUAAGGCUGGCUCACUCUGCAUUAGCAUAGAAAAGACGGACUGCAAAUCCAGCCAACUGGUCUUAAAAUCAAAAGGAAUCUUUCCACUGAGUUUAACAAGAGCUGAGUUGAGGUCUUGUGACCUUGCUGCGGCAAAAUAUUUAGACACAAGCCAAACUCUAAGCAUGUGAAGAAGCCCCAUGAAUUCAAUAGGCUUAUCAGAUGUUUAAGAACUUCAGUCAAGACUUUGUAUUUUUUAAGUUGCUGUUAAGUAACAGUGCCUCUGUUGUACAAAAUAAAAUCCAUGAGAAAAUUUGCCUUGCUUCAAUGAAAGGAGGAAUAGAGCUUGAAUAUAUGUAUUAUGCUUAUUUAUAUUUGUACAUAUGUAAUGUUUAUGUUUACAUACAAGUACACACACAUAUAUACACAUUUUAGCCUCUCUUCUUCCUUUCUUGUUCCUGGAAGAAAAGCUUUCAUCUGGUUUAUAUCAUAAUCUGCAAAAUCCACUGCUUGUGUCUACAUACUUUUCACUAGAAAAAAAAACUUCUUUUCAAAUGCCAUUGUCCCAGUGUCGAUGGAUGCUCUCCAAGCUGGGGCAUUCUUACACAGUGGACGAAUAAAAAGCCGAAGAGCCUGAGACGUGGAAACAUUGUCCUUACAAAGGUAAAAUAAGAAAUAAAGACACUUAGAAAAUAUAUAAAAAUUUACCUGAAAUACCAUCAAAAGGAAAAAUAAUUUCCUUCCUGCCUUAGGGCAAUAUUUACUUAGAUUGAAGUAUAAAAAGUACAAUGGAAAUAAAUGUCCUCUUUGUUGUCUAUGGAACCUUCAAGUAAAUCUACUUCCUAUAAUGGUGUUUAGGGGAAGUUUUAAGCCUUUUCCCUCCAUUUUGUUUCCAUUCUUUCUCUCUUUUUCCUGUUCCAUCAAAAACUGCAAUGUGCAGGCUUCAAUCUAAAAAUUCCCCAUUGAAAUAGAAUGAAUUCAUGCAUAUAUAUGCUGAUCAGCUGCAAUUACGUGUGAUUCAGAAACAGGCAAGGCAGCAUUUCAUCCAUACAGGCUCCAAAAAUGAAAUGAAAAUAACAAAAAUUUACCUUGCGGUGAGGGCCAGUAGGUAGCACCUUCAGAAGGACUGAAGCAAUAUGUCCCCAGUUCGUCACCUUCUCAAGUAAAAGCCUAAAUUGCUUCCUUGCCUCACUAAAUAACAGAUUCCUCCAGACAACUGCAACUCAUUUAUAGCAGUACAGAAACAGAUGGUUUAGUAGAUAUAAUUUUCUGUUUAACUAGCAAGUUCUUUUUGCUCUACUUUUAUUUGAUUCUCCACAAUAUAUAAAUAAAAUGCUAUAAAACAAAUAACAUCUGUGAAUAUCACUGCCUUUCCUCACUUCUGAAAUAACCUUCCAUAACCUUAUUUAUUGCUAUUUAGCCUCAUGUCAGGUUAUCUUAAAACUUCUAGCUCAACAGGAAAUAAUGUCAUGAUAACAAAUGCCUAUUUUUGUUAUUGUUGUUGUUGUGUUGCUGUUGCUUUUUCAGCGGCAGGAAGGCAGACAAAGAAGCAAACACUACAGUUCAGGAGUAUUAAAUGAUUAUGACAACUCUUGGGCUUUGAAG